AGACGUCUACAUUAGAUACCCCGGUAGUCCCAGCCGUAAACUAUGCGCGUUAGGUGUAUCGGUGACCACGAGUCACCGAGGUGCCGAAGGGAAACCGUGAAACGUGCCGCCUGGGAAGUACGGUCGCAAGGCUGAAACUUAAAGGAAUUGGCGGGGGAGCACCACAACGGGUGGAGCCCGCGGUUUAAUUGGACUCAACGCCGGACAACUCACCGGGAACGACAGCAAUAUGUAGGCCAGGCUGAAGACCUUGCCUGAAUCGCUG
rnacentral:rRNA from 1 species